AGAGUUUGAUUCUGGCUCAGGAUGAACGCUGGCGGCGUGCUUAACACAUGCAAGUCGAACGAAGCUCUUGGAACGGAGGAUUCGUCUGAAGUGAAGAGAUGACUGAGUGGCGGACGGGUGAGUAACGCGUGGGUAACCUGCCGUAUUCCGGGGGACAACAGUUGGAAACGACUGCUAAUACCGCAUAAGCGCACGGUACCGCAUGGUAUAGUGUGAAAAACUCCGGUGGAAUACGAUGGACCCGCGUCUGAUUAGCUAGUUGGUGAGGUAACGGCCCACCAAGGCGACGAUCAGUAGCCGGCCUGAGAGGGUGAACGGCCACAUUGGGACUGAGACACGGCCCAAACUCCUACGGGAGGCAGCAGUGGGGAAUAUUGCACAAUGGGGGAAACCCUGAUGCAGCGACGCCGCGUGAGUGAAGAAGUAUUUCGGUAUGUAAAGCUCUAUCAGCAGGGAAGAAAAUGACGGUACCUGACUAAGAAGCCCCGGCUAACUACGUGCCAGCCGCCGC
rnacentral:rRNA from 1 species